UGAGGAAUAUUGGACAAUGGGCGCAAGCCUGAUCCAGCAAUGCCGCGUGCAGGAUGAAGGCCUUCGGGUUGUAAACUGCUUUUGUACGGAGCGAAAAGGUCUGCCCUAAUACGGUGGGCUCAUGACGGUACCGUAAGAAUAAGCACCGGCUAACUACGUGCCAGCAGCCGCGGUAAUACGUAGGGUGCGAGCGUUAAUCGGAAUUACUGGGCGUAAAGCGUGCGCAGGCGGUUAUAUAAGACAGAUGUGAAAUCCCCGGGCUCAACCUGGGACCUGCAUUUGUGACUGUAUAGCUAGAGUACGGUAGAGGGGGAUGGAAUUCCGCGUGUAGCAGUGAAAUGCGUAGAUAUGCGGAGGAACACCGAUGGCGAAGGCAAUCCCCUGGACCUGUACUGACGCUCAUGCAUGAAAGCGUGGGGAGCAAACA
rnacentral:rRNA from 1 species